AGAGAGAGAGAGACACGGGGGAGGGAGAGAGGGAAGGAAGUGUGUGGUCCAUCACAACCCUUCACCAUUCGUUUCUUUUUCCUAACUCCCUAACCACAUAAAUUACAAACCAACAUUUUAAUCCCACUUAAUAAUUUUAUAAAAACUUAUGAAAUAAAUGUAUUUAGUCCAAAAGAUAUGUCACACAUACAAAUACCUUAAUACCCGUCAAGGGUAAUUUCGUCAUUUUACGUCCCCGAUAUAUAAAAUCCCGGAACGGGCUGUGACAAUCUCCCCUCCUUAUAGAAUUUCAUCCCCGAAAUUCCUACGACCAAACAAUCCGCUUAAUACCCAUAAAAUAACCUUGGAUACGUCUCUCUCAUUCGAUCUUCUAUUUCCCAAGUAGCUUCUUCUACUGAAUGGUUCCUCCACAAUACUUUCACCAAGCUCAUUGUCUUAUUCCUUAGAACCUUAUCCUUCCAAUGCAAUAUAGUCACUGGUUCCUCGUCAUACGUCAAAUCCGGAUUAAUCUCCAAAGGUUGUGGAGGAAUUACAUGUGAAGGAUCUGAGACAUAAUGUCGAAGCAUCGAGACAUGAAACACAUUAUGUACCUUAGAUAACUCCGGAGGCAAUUCCAACCUUAGGUAACUUCACCAACCCUCUCGGUGAUCUUAUAAGGUCCUAUGUACCUAGGACUUAAUUUGCCUUUCUUUCCAAAUCGCACCACACCUCUCCAAGGUGAUAAUUUCAAAAAUACAAAAUCACCCACAUUAUACAUUCUAUCAAUGGCAUGUCGAUCCGCUAAGCUCUUCUGUCGAUCCUAGGCCGCUUCCAGGUUAGACUUAAUCACCUGAAUAUUCUGAGUAGUCUCAUCCACAAUCUCUGGGCCUUCUAAGACUCUUUCGCCAACGUCUGACCAACAUAAUGGUGUACGACAAGCUCUACCAUAAAGUGCCUCAAAUGGUGACAUACCAAUGCUCGAAUGAAAACUAUUAUUAUAGGAAAAUUCCAUCAAGUCUAGGUGGUCAUGCCAAGAAUCACCAAACUGUAACACUGAAGAUCUCAACAUAUCCUCCAACGUCUAAAUAGUCUCUCUGAUUGACCAUCGGUUUGAGGAUGAUAAGCAGUGCUGUAAAGCAGUUUCGUACCAAGAGCUUCCUGAAAAGCUACCCAAAACUUAGAAGUAAACCUUGGAUCUCGAUCAGAAAUAAUAUUCACUGGAACUCCAUGAUACUUCACAAUCUUCGUGAUGAACAACUUAGCUAAUUUAUUCAGGGGAUACUUUUCCCUCACUGGAAUGAAGUGCGCUGACUUGGUAAGGCGAUCCACAAUUACCCAAACACCAUCAAAUCCAUUUCGUGUACGAAGGAGCUUAUGCAUGAAAUCCAUAGUUAUAUUUUCCCAUUUCCACUGAGGAACAGGAAGUGGUUGCAUUCGCCCAAAAGGCUUCUUUCUUUCAGCUUUAACUUGCUGACAAACAAUACACCUACUUACAUAUUCAGCAAUUUCUCUCUUCAUACCGACCAAUAAUAAAAUGGUCGAAUGGUAUGGUACAUCUUAGUUCCUCCUGGGUGGAUCGCAUAAGCUGAACAAUGUGCUUCAUCCAAAAUUUCUUUCUUUAAUGCCUCAUUAUUCGGCACAUACAUUCUGUUCUCCUUCAUAAGCAUGCCAUCUGAUUCUCGAAUUCUGAGGUCUUCUUUUUCCUUUCAUUUCUCAAUUGAAUCAUUUCUUGAAUUUCUUCAUCAACCAUCUGAGCUUCAAGUACACGAUCAACCAAAACUGGCUUGACUUGGAAACUGGCAAAAAAAGCUUCUCUUCGAUCUUCUAAGUCCAACUUUACUCCAGUAGCCCUCAGUUCUGCAAGAAGAGGGACAUGGCAAGCAUACAAAGCAUAAAGGCGACCUUGAGGUUUCCUACUCAGUGCAUCAGUUACUACGUUAGCGCGACCCGGAUGAUACUCAAUAAUGCAGUCAUAAUCACUUAGCAAUUCCAUCCACCUUCGUUGAUGAAGAUUAAGAUCAUGCUGAGUAAAUAAAUACUGAAGACUCUUAUGAUCUGUGAAGAUCUUACACUUCUCACCAUAAAGAUAAUGCCUCCAAAUCUUCAAAGCAAAAACAAUGGCUGCCAAUUCAAGAUCGUGAGUAGGAUAAUUCCUUUCAUGAAUCUUCAACUGUUGAGAGGCAUAGGCGAUCACUCUAUUAUGCUGCAUCAAAACGCAUCCUAAACCAUUCAAAGAGGCAUCACUGUAAAUUUCAAAGUUACCACUAUCAUCAGGAAGUACCAAUACUGGAGCAUGAGUGAGACAAUAUUUCAAUUGCUGGAAACUUUGCUCACAAUUCUCAUCCCACUCAAACUUAACAUCCUUCCUGGUUAACUUCGUUAAUGGCAAAGCAAUCAUAGAAAAAUCUUGAACAAACCGUAGAUAAUAACCUGCUAGACCAAGAAAACUCCGUACCUCAGUGACGGUUCGCGGUUGUUCCCAAUUUUCCACUGUUGCUAUCUUUUGAGGAUCUACUUGAAUUCCUUGUGCCGACACUACAUGCCCCAAAAAUGCCACUUCAUUUAACCAAAACUGACAUUUACUGAACUUGGCAUACAACUGGUGUUCCCUCAAUUCUUUAAUACCAAGUUAAGAUGUCGAAUAUGAUCUGCUUUAAACUUAGAGUAUACCAGAAUAUCAUCGAUAAAAACAAUAACAAAUUUAUCAAGAUAUUGUUGGAAUACCUCAUUCAUUAACCUCAUGAAAGCUGCAGGUGCAUUAGUCAAUCCAAAUGGCAUCACCAGAAAUUCAUAAUGUCCGUAACGGGUCCUGAAAGCCGUCUUAGGUACAUCUUCAUCUUUAAUCUUCAACUGAUAAUAACCAGAUCUCAAAUCAAUCUUAGAGAACACACAUGCACCUUUCAGCUGAUCAAACAAGUCAUCAAUGCGAGGCAAUGGAUAACGGUUUUUAAUUGUCACCCGAUUCAAUUGCCUAUAAUCGAUGCAUAAUCUCAGGGUUCCAUAUUUCUUUCUCACAAAUAAUACCGGAGCUCCCCUAGGUGACCUACUAGGUUGAAUGAAACCUUUAUCAAGUAAUUCUUGUAACUGAAUUUUCAACUCUCUCAGUUCAGCUGGAGCCAUUCUGUAUGGAGUUAAAGAUAUAAGAUCUGUACCUGGAAGCAAAUCAAUGGAAAAUUCCACAUCUCUGUCUGGCGGCAAUCCCGGCAAAUCAUCUGGAAAUACAUCAGAAUAGUGCCUGUCUACUCCAACUUCCUCUACAUUGCUAGGAACAACAUCAUUUAACACCACAUGUGCUAAGUAUCCUUGACAACCCUUCGAUAAUAACUUCUUUGCUCUCAUGGCAGAAAUAACACCAUGUCUCACCCCACUUCUUUCACCCACAAAAGUAACCUCUGGUAAUCCAGGACGAUAAAAGGUAACAGAUUUCCCGUAACAAUCAAUAUGGGCAUGAUUAUAAUGCAACCAAUCUGCCCCUCGAAUCACAUAAAAAUCCAAAAUAUCUAACGAGAUAAGAUUAGUUGGCAUAACUACACCCUCUACCAUCACUGGACAUCCAAGAUAGACACUAUCAACAUAACAUUUAUCCCCUAUAGGCAUGGCAAAUUCUAAAUCCAAUCCUAGAGGCAAAGGGUGAGGUUGAGUCAUUUGAGCAAACGUAUGAGAAAUCACAGAAUGUGUCGCACCACAAUCAAUCAAAACUCUAGCAAAAUGACCAAGAAUAUUUAACGUACCCAUGAUCAAAUCUGGAUGGUUCUGAGCAUCUUGCAGUGAUAUGUGAUUAACACGUCCCUGAGUUUGAUCUCGUCCACCACGACCUCUGUUGCCUUGGUUACCUCGCCCCUGAGAAGUACGUCCCUGUCCUGACUGAUUAGACUGCCUAGAUGAUCCUGCACCACUGGCAGCAACCUCUCCCUGUCGGGGCUGACCUCCCUGGUGCCACUGAGAUCUACUAGCUGGCAUGGAAGAAUAAGAAGGAAAACCCCCAGGGUCUUGGGAAUACCUACUACGAGAAUAAGGAUCUAGGGAAUACUGAUACUGUCCUGGAGCAUAAGGAGCAACAUCACCUUGGUAAUGGUAAGCACCACCACGACCCGUCUAACCAUAACUGCCUGAACCAAAGCUUUGCUGAGUCGGUGCUGGAGGUGGCAUAACAGGCUGCUGAGGCCUUUGCUGACUCUAGGGACACUGUGCCGCUCGAUGUCCCGUUUGUCCACAAGUGUAGCACGCCCCACUAUUCCUCAUACACUCUCCCUGAUGUCUGAAGUUACAACGGCGGCACAACGGAGCACCAGAUCCACCAGCACUACCAAAAUCUCUCUGUCUCUGAAAUCUAGCCCCGCCAGCAAAUCUUCCACCUCUUCUCAGGCCUGUGACACUAAAUACUCCACUGGAAGAACUUGAACUCGGUCCACUUUUCUUAAAAUUCUGUGUCUUACGGGGUCCUUGAGUGGAGAUACCCUUGCCCUUAUCAUCUUUCUUCUGACCAUCAUUCUUGUCCUCAUCAUCCUCACUGUCACUAGGAAGGUUGUUAGGAUCCUCCAUCCGAACCAAGAUCUCGAAAAACUCAUGAUAAUCAUUGCAAGGAAGUGCAGUAGCAAAAGUUCGCCAUUUCCUCUUAGUUCCCAACUUGAAACGGCGAAGCUUCUCUACCUGAUUACCAGAUGUAUCAGGAUCAUAACGAGACAAGUCUGUAAACUUCCUGUAAUACUCAUGUGUUGACAUAUUCUUUUGCUUCAAUCGAGUGAACUCCUACUUCUUGCGAUCAAUGUACUCCGGAGGGAUAAAUCUUUUCUUAAAAUGUUCCUUGAAUACUUCCCAAUCAGCUGCCAUCUCAGGGGACAUAAACUGAGUUUGAUUUUUCCACCAACCUGCAGGCUCUCGUCCCAAAAACCAAGUAGUGGUCUCAACCCAUCUAUUAGCAGGAAAAUUUCCUUGACUCUGCAUCACCUGAAAAGUCAUCUCAAUACGGUCUAGCCAUUUUUCUGCCCCUUCAUGACCUUCAUUACCCAUAAAAUGAUCCAAUUUCAAAUUAUACAUAGUCUCCAGGGGUAUCAUCUGAGGAGAAGGAGGAAGGCGGAUUGCAUUCUGAAAGGCCUGGGCCAUCGCUUCCCCUAGUUGAGUUAUAUCAGGGAAAUUAGGUUCAGAAGCACGGCGUGACUCUCUACGAGGCGGCAUAAUUCUGACAGAAAACAUUAAAAGAUCAUUAGAGCAUUAACAAUUAUACAAGACUGCAACCUAGGCUUUGAUACCAAACUGACACACCCCGACCCAGAAAUCAGGGCUUGCUGGCCGUCACGUGAGUGUGAUGUAACCAAAAGUGCGAUACAGAAGCAAAGGAUAUAAUAAAUACGAAGGAAUAAAAAACCAACUACUAACAGUAAAAACCAACUAGUGUGCUAGAGUGAGUUAUAUAAUAAAACACACAAUUUAGAGCUUAGGUACUAGGUGCAGUCAAGUAAGACUAUAAUUAAAUUACAACACCCGCAGGUGAGUCCUACAUGCAGGGUGUCUGUCAGAACGCCGAAGAGAACCUCAUGAGCCACCAACUGCUAGCUAGAACCUGGAGGGGCGCAAAAACAAAAUUGAGUGGGUCAGUAAAACCAAAGCUUUCCAAAACAUUACAUUUAAAAUGUCUCUAACCCCUCACUGUAAAACCUGUAUACUUUCCCAGAAAAAUAGUAUAUAAACAUAUAUAUAUCAUCAAAAACUCAACUCACAAUCCUUCACCGCUUUUCAGAAAGAAGAUUCCACGCCAUGCCAAAAUAUAAUAUGAAUGCAUAAAUAUAAAUCAGGUGAAAUAAUAAAUCAACCGGAGACCCUACAAUGGUCCUGUACGGCUGAUUCUAUAGUUUAAUAUCCCAUCCAGUCAGAGUCACCCACUGUGACCUGUACGGCUCUGCCGAAGUCACAAAUUGCGACUUGUACGACACUACACUGCACAUAAGUCGGAACUACCUAUAGUAGUCUGUACGACUAUGAUGGUGAAAUAAUACGCUAUAGUGCUUCUCUCAUCAAUCAUCUGCGCGUGUAAUCUAAGGUCACCUACUAGUCGGAACCACCUCUAGUGGUUUGUACGACUAGCAUGUCGGAACCCUCUCGGGGUCUGUACAACAUGCACCUACUUGGAUCCAAGGUGAGCGUGCGGUGCGGUGAAUAAUAUAAGCACUAACACCAAGGGUGCAGAUUAUGAGUUCUCAACACCAUUCACAUUAUCGAUGAUUCACAUGAUUAACAUAAAACUCACCUGAUACUCACUUGUGAAUCCACAGCACCAAUUCACAGAUAUAUAUAUGCAUUAAUAUCAAUUCAUAAUAUUCAUAAUAUGCAUGCAUGGCAAUUGAAAACGUACUUUCAUAUAAAUUCAAUUUCUGGGAAAAUUAAUAGUAUAUAGGUAUAUACGAAAACAAAACUGCCCAUUCACUGGUAAGUCGAUGGGUCGUAGCCCUCGUGACGUCCCUGGAUGCGCUCGUCCUCGGGAUAGGUGUCACCUAUAUGCGAAACAACUAUAAAAACGUUAAUUAAUGCACAUAACCGACAAUUCGAAAUAACUUCUCAUACGGUGCUCAAUUUGGGUAUAUGAAUAUACCACAUCGACCUACUCGACGUCACGAACGUCGAGAAAUUUUUAGAAUUUUUUUUUGACGUGGCACGCGCCCCCACGCACCAGGGAAGGCACGGGUACACGCACCCCCCACGCGCAUCUUCUUCCUUGGUUCGCCGAACUGUGUUUUCCGGUGGUCGGAAAACUGGGGAUUUUUCAAUCCCCUUGUUCUCCCUCAUUUCUCAACCGUUUUCUUCGUAUUUUAUAUCAAUUUGAAGCCCUCAACAUGUAGAAUCACGAUAGACUAGUUUCAAGGUCUAAAAUCCACUAGAUUUUACCUGAGAAAGCUCGAUAAUCCGACCAAAUUUGAAAAACUCCGUUGUCAGUCCUCCGACGUCCAAAUUCUACCAACGAAGUACCCCGAAGCUCGUGAGGAUCUCCUUAAGUUCACUAUGAGCUUUAAAUUCCCUGAAAUGCAAGAUUUUAUGUGUGCAUGGACAGUGCACAUUUUCGGGUUAGGGUUUCACGACGAUUCUGUGGGUUUUAACUUCCACAAAUCACAUAUACGAACUCACAAGCUUACUAGGAGUUCAAAUCUUACCUUAGAACCUUUGAUCCGUGAAGAAAUGGGAGGUUCCUAGCUUGUCCGUACAAUUCGAGAGGGAGAGAGAGAGAGAGAAAGCCGUGAUGGAGGAGAGAGAGAGACACGGGGGAGGGAGAGAGGGAAGGAAGUGUGUGGUCCAUCACAACCCCUCACCAUCCAUUUCUUUUUCCUAACUCCCUAACCACAUAAAUUACAAACCAACAUUUUAAUCCCACUUAAUAAUUUUAUAAAAACUUAUGAAAUAAAUGUAUUUAGUCCAAAAGAUAUGUCACACAUACACAUACCUUAAUACCCGUCAAGGGUAAUUUCGUCAUUUUACGUCCCCGAU
rnacentral:lncRNA from 1 species